GGGGGUUAGUGAAACUAACACGAGUGGUCAUCAGAUCUGAUCACUCCCUCUACCUUGUCUGCAGCACCACCCACCAGUUCUCUUUUUAUAGCGCUCCCCAUCUCCCACUCUCAGGUUACUCGUGGAAGGGUGUUCGGAGCUGCUGCCUGUGUCUGCAGCCUCUGGAGGGGUUCUUUUUUUUUGGAGGACUCAUCCAGCCCCAUUGAUUGGAUUGGGUAGCCUUGUCUUGACACAGGACUGUGCUGGGCGACGUGUUUCAACAGAUGGUUGGGGUUAGAGUGUGUCAUCACAUUGGAGUGGGGAUUAAAGCUGCGAGGGGGCAUUGCUGGAGCUGUGUGGUCGAUCCCAGUUAAGUGCUAACUUGAAGAAAUAAAAAGAAGAAGACAGAAGCCAGGAGUGUCUGUGCUCAGGAGAAUAUUGUUGCCUAUUUUUUUUGUGAAGGUCCACUGCUGACGUGUUGGACAUGGCAGAGUCAUGCUGUUUUUAAGGAGUGACGUUAACUACCGACCACUCUAGCCAAGUAAGUUAAAAGUGUCCAUUUCUGUGCUUCCACAUGCCACCGGAACAUGAAGGUUCCAUUCAAUAGAACAAGCCCCAUCGUGUGUGUAUUCCUCAGGUAUAUAUCUGUAUGUAUAGGUUUACCUGCAGAGAAAGAAUCCACAAUAGUCCCAUUCAGUAUUUUUAUACCACUUUUUAUAGAGAGCUGCAGAACCAGUCCUAUCCAAGACACAAGCGAUUUCUUUUCAUUAUGCAUGUGCCUGAAUAAACCUGUGAAUGCCCCUGUGUUACAGAACUUUCACUAUUCAGUUAUUAAAGGGUUAAUUAAGGGCAAGUGCAAUGUGGAAAAGAUGUUGAAAGGGCGCUGUAAUUGUUGAAAAUGUGGAAAGAGGAAGUCAUUAUGAUGGAUUGCUGCAAAAUAACCUAUAGACCACAUUUCAUUGAACCCUUCGGUCACAUUUGCUUAGAGGAAACUACAAAGG